UCGAGAAUCUUUCACAAUGGGGGCAACCCUGAUGGAGCGACGCCGCGUGGAGGAUAAGGUCUUCGGAUUGUAAACUCCUGUCAUGCGCGAACAAGGCUGCUGGGUUAAUAGCCCGGCAGAUUGAUGGUAGCGCAAGAGGAAGAGACGGCUAACUCUGUGCCAGCAGCCGCGGUAAUACAGAGGUCUCAAGCGUUGUUCGGAAUCACUGGGCGUAAAGGGUGCGUAGGUGGCGUGGUAAGUCAGAUGUGAAAGCCCAGGGCUCAACCCUGGAACUGCAUCCGAUACUGCCAUGCUAGAGAACUGAAGAGGAGUGUAGAAUUCUCGGUGUAGCAGUGAAAUGCGUAGAUAUCGAGAGGAAUACCAACGGCGAAGGCAGCACUCUGGGCAGUUUCUGACACUGAGGCACGAAGGCUAGGGGAGCAAACGGG
rnacentral:rRNA from 1 species